rnacentral:rRNA from 1 species
CAGCCGCCGCGGUAAUACGUAGGUGGCAAGCGUUGUCCGGAAUUAUUGGGCGUAAAGCGCGCGCAGGCGGAUUGGUCAGUCUGUCUUAAAAGUUCGGGGCUUAACCCCGUGAUGGGAUGGAAACUGCCAAUCUAGAGUAUCGGAGAGGAAAGUGGAAUUCCUAGUGUAGCGGUGAAAUGCGUAGAUACUAGGAAGAACACCAGUGGCGAAGGCGACUUUCUGGACGAAAACUGACGCUGAGGCGCGAAAGCCAGGGGAGCGAACGGGAUUAGAUACCCCAGUAGUCCCUGUCUCUUAUACA